ncrna:unclassified sequences AdoCbl variant RNA
AUACUGAAAUGCAUGGUGGGAAAUCUUUGUGAAAUUCAUUGGCUGUACCUGCAACCGUAAAGUCGGAGCGCCACCCAGUAG